rnacentral:rRNA from 1 species
UACGUAGGGGGCAAGCGUUGUCCGGAUUUAUUGGGCGUAAAGAGCGUGUAGGCGGCCAGGUAGGUCAGCUGUGAAAACUGGAGGCUCAACCUUCAGACGUCGGCUGAAACCAUCUGGCUAGAGUCCGGGAGAGGAGAGUGGAAUUCCUGGUGUAGCGGUGAAAUGCGCAGAUAUCAGGAAGAACACCCGUGGCGAAAGCGGCUCUCUGGAACGGUACUGACGCUGAGACGCGAAAGCGUGGGGAGCGAACAGG